UAUAUAUUUAAAAAGAAAUAAAUAAACCCCAAAACUCAUCAGUAAACAUUUUUAAUACCUUUCCCUAACUUUCUGGUGGAUAUGCUCACUUACCAAAUAAUACCCUUUAUAAAAUGUCUAUCAGUUGUAUCUCAAUAAAGCUUUUUUACAAGAGUAAGGACCCAAAUCUUAGCAUCUAUGUGUCUUGCCAGCCUUGAGGAAGCCAUAAACUUACAAAAGUGCCUAACUAAAACAAAUCAAAGAAAAAUACUUUUCUUAGUUUUUUGUUUGGUUUUAUUUAUUUAUUUAUUUAUAUUUAUUGAUUGAUUGAUUGAUUUAAUGAUUUUAGGACUAGGACUCAGGGCCUCACUCAUCCUAAGCAAACGUUUUGCCACUGGGCUUUAUCCCCAACCACUUUUUGAAAACCACCAUUCCCAUAAUGAAUUUGCAUGCAUCCCUUAGUGACUGGGAACUCUGGAGAUAAUGUGUCAUGCUGGGCAUCCUAGAUUCAUCCUAGAGUUCUGCUUCACUUCAAGUUUUAGUCUUUGUGGGGUAACUCAGCAAUGUUUUAGUCAGGUGGGGGAGAAAAUGUACAUGUUGAGGUACUGUAUAUGCUAAUUAACUUGUCUCAGUUAUUCCAUAUUUGUGUUCACACCACAUCUCACUUUGUAUCUUACAAAUACACAUAACUGUAACUAGUCAAUAUUCAGUUAAUUUUUUUAAAAGAUUUAUUGUUGAUUAUGUGUAUAUGUAUGGGGGGCAUGCAUGUGGGUAUAUAGGCGUGUGUGUGUGUGUGUGUGUGUGUGUGUGUGUGUGUGUGUAUUCCCACAGACUCCAGAAGAAGGUGUUAGAUCCACGGGAACUGGAGCUACAAGCAGUUGAGAACUGCUGGGAACUGAACGUGGUUACUCUGCAAGAAGAGCAGUUCAUCAUCUUAACCUUUGAGCCCUCUCUCCAGAUCCUCAAUAAAAACUUAAAACCAAAGUGAGAAACUCUAGCUUUAAGGAAGGUCUUAGCUGAGGUUUAGUUCUAGUCUCUCUGUCUGUAAGUGGCAUGUAAAAGCACAGAUAGCUGCCCAGGGAGGCACCUCUGCACUCCUCACAGAGAGGGAUCUCAUUACAUUGCCAGAGUGUGAAGAAUCUUCCCACUGUGAUUCUGAAACCAGGAUAGCAAAUGUUUUGACAGCAAAAACUAACUCUUGGCAGAUAAUUGAAAUCUUGUCCAGGAUCUUGUAUUCUGUGUUAGGAUUUAGGUGUAGAUCCUCAUGCAACGUCACUCAUGUGCCUCUGAAAUUCUAAUGAACCCAACAGCAUGUGUUAAUUGUAUUCUACUAAAAGCUACAGGAAAUAGCCCAUGCCUUGCAGAUUAAGACAGUGGAUACAACAAACUAUGUGUGUAAUAGUGUUGAGAGCAGACAUACUCUAGGGCUCAGAAAGAUUUCUUAUAAAUUCCAUCUUCCCUUAGACAAAUGUGUUUAGCGUCAGUUUUCUCACCUGUGAAAACUGGUAUGGACUGGCUAUUUCUCAGGCAGUUAGUGGGUAAGUGAUCCAUUUGGCCCUCUGCCUCUGAGGGUUCAGCACUGAGGACCAAUAUUUCCUUGUUACUACAACAACUUUUUACAUGGUGUUUUUAGAUGAGUUAAAGUAUACGGGAGGACAUGCACAUUUUAUAUACAAAUGCUAUGCCAGGUCAGGUAAGACACUUAAGCACAUACCCUUUUUUUGCCAUUUUCAGGAUCCUGAAAAAUCCCCCAUAGAUACUGAGAAAGACUGUACACUAACGGCAACUAGGAAAAGACUCCAGUCUGUAAGAGUAUCAAUCAGUGACAAACAAACACAGUAGAAGUGGCUGCAAAUGCUUAAAUCAAAGAGAGUCACUUCUGCUAUGUAAAUGAUGGGCAACUGAGGAGUCAUACAGAGGACAGGAAGGGUCCUACUGGGUGGCAUCAGCAGGAAGCCACUGCAAGCCUUACCUACACACACACACACACACACACACACACACACACACACACACACACACAAGAUGGAGCUGUAUUAGAAGUCAAGAGCUAGAUAACUUAAAAGGAGAUAAGCAUAUAAUGAGACUUUCUGGGGAGGAGGAUACUAUGGUUUGAUGGUAACCAUAAAGAUCCCUAUUUUGAGUCCUUGGUCUUGGUGGUGAUGUUAUUGAAGGGGUGGGAUCUUUAAGCAGAGGGCCCUUGUGAUAGGUAACUGUCUAUGAGAGCACAUAGUUCUGAUUAGUACAGUUCUUGUGGGACUUUGUUAGUUCUUACUGAAUGAAUUGAUAGAAAAGAGUGAUAUUAGCCUUUGAACUGCUGUGUAGUCCUGUCUGGUCACAUCCUCUCUCCAUUUCUCAAAUGCUGUUACCAUGAGGCCAUUUACUGUUUUUGUGUUUGGGGGGAGCCAGAAAACCCUCAAAGUUAAGCACAUGCUAGCACUGCGAUCUUGAAUCUCCAGAACUGUUAGCUAAAUCAACCUUUUUCUUUAUGAAUUAUCUAGUCUUUGGAAUAAUUCAUGGAACCAUAAAAGAAGGCAUUUUGAGAAGACACCUGAUGUCAAGAGGAGGUGUAAAGGCUGUUCUUAAUUGGUUUUGAUAAUAAAGUGCCAGAGUCAGAUAUAGAGGGGAAUGCUGAGAGAUCAGAGAGAAGGAGCAAGCCACAACACACCUUACCUCCUAAGUGUCUCAGCAGAGAAGAGAGAGAUUUCCUGUUUCUCCCUGCUUAUAUCCUGUUUCUGCCCUGCUAUGUCACUUCCUGUUUGUCUGUACAGACCUCUAUGAUUAGCUAGUAGCAAGCUCCAUUCUCUGACCUCCAGAAAGACUUUAUCUGUGCAAGAAAGGUAUCACCACAAAAAGGAAUAUCUUGUAUCUUUGUCUCCCAAUAUUCACACUUCUUACCAAAUGACACAGAAUGCUGAGAAACCCAGAAUCAGGGCUGAGGCCUGAUGCCAGGGGCUGAAGAGGAAAGGUGAGCACAAAUCUGAGGGUUCACAGGCCAAGAUCAGCAUACUACACACCCUGCAGCUUAUUAAGCAAGCUGAGGACUGAGUCUGGUGCUGGGCACGUAUAAGUGACUCUACUAAAGCUCCUCUUCCUUCACUUACCCUCUGCUCUGGACACUGAUAUAAAUCUCACUGUCAAUUUGGAAAGCCUAUCUCUGUGUGCUGUGCAUUGUUCACCUGUAGGUCAAGAUGAGCGUCAGCUUCUUGAAAGGUGGAGUGUCAUCUCCUUACCAAGUAUGUUAUCUAUUCCUGUCUGCCCAAGGUUUGAUACGUGACUAGAUGACUUUCGUUCUGUCCAGUCCUUUCCUCAUCGGCAUCCCUGUCUCUGUUUGUUUCUGUCCUCUACUUGGAGAAGACAUCCCAGACUCCUUCAGUCUGAGCCAGAGCUAGGGGCACUAGGUGACCAGGAAAUUCUUUUGAGUCAGCAGGAUUCCCUGGAAGAAGGUGAUUUGAUGAAUGAGUUUAAGCAGCUUGGAUAAACAACAAAAUCUCCCCUUACCCUAGAUGGGUAGACUCCAAACUCACCAGUGGAUGCUGAGAAUCAUUUAAUGGCCAACUCCACACAAUGUAGAGUGAGUAGAAAGAAGUCUGAAUGAGGGAUUGUCUAGACAAAGUUGGCCUGUGGGCACAUCUGAGAAUUGUCUUUAUAAAUGUGGGAAGAUCCAGCCUACUUUGGAUGGCACCAUUCCCUAGAUUUUUGUCCUAGACUAUAUAAGGGUGAAGAAGAUGAGCUAAGCACUCCAUGCAUUUAUUCCUCUCUGCCCUGGACUGUGCACCUAAUGUGACUGGUUGUUUUAAGAUUCUACCACCUUGACUUCCCUGCAAUGACUGUAACCUGGAAAUGAAAGCUAACUUGCUUUGGUCAUUUUAUUACAGCAAUGGAAAAAAAAAAACAACUAGGGCAAUUCCUUUACUAUGAAAGUGUCCCUUGAGUAUCAGCACUGUCAUAACAUCAUGGGAGGCCUAAGGGCUGAAAUGGCUGUUGGGUGACUACCGGAUAGGUAGUGUAUAUAGUGUCACACUGGACAAAAGGGCAGUUCAUACCUUGGGCAGGGUGGACUAAGAUAACACGAGGUUUAAUCAUACUAUUGGGAAUGGUGUGCAAUAUAAAAGCAAAGAGGUGUUUCAUUGUGUGUGUUCUUUCCAGAGCCUGGUGACAGAAAUGGAAAUGGUAACUAUGGAUAAGGGACAGGCAGUCAGUCCUCACAGGCUGUCUGUGUAUCUGGAUUAUUUGCCCCAUUGCCCACCUCAUACAGUACCUGCUGACUGCCUGUGUCAAUCAGGAUGCUUUCAGUUACAAAUAAUAGAAAAGCUAAAGACAUGGCCAUUCCUCAGCUACCACCCGCAGAGUUCCAGAAGCUGACUUCAGAGUUGUCAGGUGCAACGACGUCACAUUUUCCCACGUGUCUCUCCUGCAAGCUUCUCUGCGGGUCUGGCAACCAAAGGUGACACAUGACUGCAAUCCCAACACUGCACAAACAAGGAGUAUCAUGGGCUCGAGAUCAGCCUAGGCUACACAGUAAGACUGUCUCAGCAAGACCGUCCAGACAGCAAAGAAAGGUCCCAUCUCUGUUGGUCUAAAGUCAAGGAGCUGUGCUCACUCAAUACAAAGAGGCCCCUUCAUUCUUUCAUGGUGUCAUGGGUGUGAAGCAAUCUGCUGGAGUAUGGUGGAUCUACCAGGAGCACACUACUUUGAAGAGACUCUCUGGCCCCCAGAAGCCAACAACUGCCAAUUGCAACUCAGGAGGAGCAAAUGCCUAAUCUGACCUGAUCUGACUGGGAACAGCAGAGUUGAGAGCUGGGUUUCAAAUGAGGAAAUGGUGGCUGAGAGCUCUGAGGGAAGACAACAGUUGGAGUCGUGAGAGAUCCAGGCUGGUAUCCUCCUCAGCAGUGCAUUUAGUUCAACAGUGAGUCUCGCCUUUAUCUAAAUAAAGUGCAGUGAAAUGGCGAAGAGGCAGACGUGAGAUGGACAGAGUAGACCUGAGUUCAAACCCUGAAGCCAGCACAUUAGCUGUGUGACUUAGACAACUUGUUAAUUUGCUCCCUGGAAGAUUUUCCAACCUAUAAAGUGGAGGUAAGGCCACUUCAUUAAUAAGAUUCUAUAAGCCUCCAAUGGGACAAUGUAUAGAAAAAGCUCAGCCCAUGCCUGACAUGAAGGACAGUUUUGUUUCAUUAUUUAAUAGGCUUCCUUUCUUCCUUCCUACCUUCCUUCCUUUCUUUCUUUCUUUCUUUCUUUCUUUCUUUCUUUCUUUCUUUCUACUGAUAUGAAACAAAUGUCAGUGUUUCAAAGGAAUGUCUGUUACAUAACUGGGAGGGUGACUUUCUCAUUUCUCAAAGUGAAGUCUAGGACUUUGGGGUCACAGGGACUCAUCACACAAGCAGUCAUUCCAUUUGGGUGUGGCCUCUGUGGGAAGGGCUGGACUGUUCAUAAGGUCACUUGGCAUUCCUCCUGCAACACAUCCCUUCUUCUCCUUCUUGAACUCUAACUUAUACAGUUGCAGAGGUGGAGGGUCGGCUGGUUCUUUUCCUUUUACAAAUGUUGUAGAGGGAAGCUUCGGCAUCCUGGAAUCCAAAGCGUGUGGUAGCUUCGUGGGACCAUAAAGGUAAAUAAAUGACUCAUCCCCUUCCCAGUAGAUGUUUGCAUCUCUACAACUAUUCUAGCAGGGUCGGCCACUGAAAAAUAAAUAAAUCAUAAAAAAUAAUUUGAAAAAGUCCCCAUUUUUAUACUAUUUGUCUAGUAGUAGAUCCUUAACCUCUCACCAACUUAGCCUUAAACUUUACCUAGAAAGGAUUAGAAAUCACUAUUUUAUGCAUAACUCUGCCUGAGCCUGACUGGCCAUGUUGUUUAACAGAUUUGCUGUUGAGAUUGUUUGUUUUGUUUUGCUUUUAAAUUAAGCCAGGAAAGCAACUGAUUUCCAAGAUACAAGACGUUUUGGCUGACUUCGGAUUGUCAAUAUUUGCUAUGAGAGUGUAAGCAGAGUAGUCCUUAACAGGUGUUGCAGUUUGAAUGUGAAAUGCUCUCACAGGCUCAGAGGUUGGAAUAUUUAGUCGUUAGUGGACAGUGCAGUUUUGGUAGGCUGUAGAACCCUGAGGAUGUGGAGCCUCCCUGGAGGAAGUGGGAUGACCCUGUGGGAAUCAGAGGAAGGGUGGGCGAGCCCUGCUUCUUGCUUACUCUCUGCUUCUUGUCCUGCCAAGAUGAGAGAAAGACUCCCAGCUGCACACUGCUGCCACCCCGGAGCCAUCUGCCACCUGACUUCUCCUCUGAGAUGGACUGUAGCUCUUAAAACUGUGAGCCAAAAUAAAACCUCUCUCCUCUAAGCUGUUUCUUGUUAAGAAAAUUAGUAACUGUUCUCAUCAAUUGAUCAAACACCUGGCAAUAAGCAAUGUAAGGGAGAAAAGAUUUAUCUUGGCUCACCCUUCAGGAGGACAUAGUUAAUUGCAGUUGGGAAGGCAUGGUACAGGCAGCCCCACUGUGGGGAUAGUGUGCAACUGUGACUCCUCACAUCCUGCUCUCUUAGCAGAAUCAGAAGUAGAAAGGACAGGAAAUUUGGACAGACUACAAAACCCCAAAGUGUAUCUCCAGUCAUGCAUUUACUCCAGCAAGGCCUCACCUCAAGGCCCACUCACAACUGGAGACUAACUGUUCACGCACAUGAGUCUGCAGAUGACAGUCACAUUUAAAUCACAACACUAGAUAUUUUGGCACAGCAAUAAAAAAGUAAUUAAUACAUCAGGGUACAGUGUGAACAGUGCAGUGAACUCUUCAAAUCUCAGAUAGUCACACACAUAGGGAAACUGAGAGACUCAGAAUCAUCUUAACCUUAACCAUUCUGUAAAGACUUGCUCUGAUUCAAGAUUCAGAAAAACAAAUGGGCCUGGGCCAUCUCUUCCCUUCUCAAGACUUUUCUUUUGUUCCUGUUCUAUGAGAUUCAAAGCUUAGUCUGGACCAUGCUUUGGCUUGAACACCCUACCACCCCCACCAAGUAAUGGUUACAAUCUCUGGUGCAACUGUGUUUUUUCAGAGGUGUGCUUUGCGGAGAUCUUCUGCCAUCAGGGAGGGAUCUGUGGUGUUAUAAACAUUCUUAGAGGACUCAUUUUUUUCUCUUUUGGCAAGCAUAGGUACACUUCAUUGGUUUGCCUUUCUGCUUUCCAGCAUAUGAGGGCACAUCAGCAAGACCCUCAGCAGAGUCGGUCACCCUGACCUUAGACUCAGCUGCCAGAGCUAUCAGAGAUCAUUUAUGUACCCAUCAGAGUCUGUUAUCUGCACAUAUCACCCCAAUUGGGGUCCUCCAUAGCCCUUCUUUCACUCCCUGAAGGAAAAGUCAGAAAUCUAAGCUGCUCCUGAACUCAGAAUACCCUUUAUUGUUAAUGCUUUGAUGCCUCCUUGCUCUGUUCCGUGGCCUUAGCUAUCCUUCCUCCUUACCCCCCCUCCUCGCCCUGAGUUUCUAGUCAGUCUCCACUGUCCACAGAAUCCCACAUCCUCUCAGAAACUUUCCUGUCCUGGCGAUCCAGAAGAUCUGGAGUGACUGCCUCCUCCUCAUUGCACUUUUAUGUGGUACCAGACAUGAUGGUCCAUGGGCUUGGAGUAAGACAGACUUCACAGAUCUUUCUUAGUUGGUAAUAUAGUUAACCAGUAUAAAUUCAGGGGCACUGUUCAUACCAGUUACAUCCAAAUCAGAAUGGCCAAGGAAAUGGAUCUGCUAUCCAAAAAACAUUAAAUUAGAAUCAUGCUAGCUGCCAGUUAUCUUCCCUAAUUUCAUUGAACAAAUCCCAAGCAGCAUUGUUUUACUCUCAAUGCUUUUUAGAGACAAUAAUGAGUGCACUAAGUUUCAAAAUUCUUACUAAAGAGUAGGGAUAAAAAGAACAGAGAAUGUUCCAGAAGUUUGGUUAGGUUGGUAGGAUCUUGCUUACUGCCCUAAUCUUCUACAGAGAGGCUAUGGAAACCAGUAAAAAUGAAAUCCCCCAACUUGAUGUUAGACCAGUUAGAUGCUUCUGUGCUUAUAAAGCAACUUUGAAAAGCUCUGUGGUUAGGUCCCCACUUAUCUUCCCCUGAUGUGCCCUCAUAUGCUGGACCCGUCAAUCUCGAGGACAUUAUUGGGAUGGCAAUGUGCCAGAACAGUAGUCCAAAUUUAUCUAAAUCAGUUAUGACAACUACGGUGUGCCAGUGUCCUCUCUAGGCCUGGACAUGUGACUCAUUUCUGACCAAUAGAAUGUAAGUGAAGUCCUACAGGCUGAACAGAGCAUUGAGAAAAGGUUUUUCCUCAUAUGUUAAAAAGAGAGGGCCUCAAACUCUGGGCACUGUAUGUGAAGAUCUCUUUGUUUAGAAAUCUGGGGAAAGUGUGAUCAAGGUGGGGAAGCCCCCCUCCCCCCACACACACAGGUUGGCAAUCGGGGAAGAUGGAAUCUGGAUCUUUGAUGCUACGACAAAACCAGUGAACUAAGAUUGGGCCAUCCAUUUUCAGGUUUCUUGUUAAUAAAAGUCAAUCAUGGAUCGGUGUGUGUCACACAGAUGAGUUUUCUGCUGCUGGAGAUCAGGUGCCUCUGAUAGAAUCAACAUCUAAAGUUCUUUGGGGAGCCAGAUCAAGGGGGGUGGGAUUCUCUGGGGGAAAGGUUUAAAAUAUUUAUGAUGUCAGAUCUCUAGUACUGCACUGAGCUCAGGAGAGAGGCAGUUUGCCUUUAAACUCUUAGGAGAUACAGAUUCGUCAUGAAAGGAAUCCUGGAAGUGAGGUAUGUCUUUGGGAAUUGGGAAAUGUAACCAGGAAUCCCAAUGGUGCCUAGAAGGAUUGAAAAGGAUGUGGUGUGGCAAGGUUCAAUUGGACUCCCAGUGGUUCCAAAGGGCCCUGACUAGAUAUAAGACUUAUAAGAUGUAUGUAGCUGAAGAGAGAAGCCUCUUUGUAGGGGAAAUGUGGGGCAGUGGGGAGGGAGAGAUGAUGUUGGGGCAUAGCUGUCUUUUCCAGAAGAAACAGAUAAAAGAACACAGAAUGCAAUAUACUAUAAUAAUUAAUGAAAUGUCAAAUUGGAAAUUUAAAAAAAGCUACCAAGAAUUUAGUUUUUAAGGAGAAAUGAUCUACAAGAGAAAAUUUGCAUAGGUGUGCUUUGCAUGGGAGUGAAUGAGAGAUGGAAACAUUGACAAGAAAGAACCACUGUAAACUUAAUAAAAGACUUCUUCUGGGUGUGUUUUACUAUAUGCUGUGCCCUAGGAACCAAGGGUGUCAUGAAGCCUCACAACACAGCAUGGAUGAGCACUACCAGAAACAUCUUGGAUUCCUUGUGUUUGACUUGGAACUAAUUUUUGGUUGUUGCACAUUCAGAAACCUUUUAUUAUUGCUGUUUUCCUACGUCUGUGUUCAGUUAUGCAACCACAGAUAAGGUUGUGCCCCCACCUCUCCCAGGAAAGCUUCCUGACAAAUCUUUGGUACCCAGAUUUCUGAUGGAAGGCAUGGUGGUGAAUUCUGUAGCUUGAUCAUCAUUGUCAGCUAAGGGGACUAAGAGCAGAGAGCAAGUGAAACAACCGAGAACAAAAAACACUCAGCCACACUUUGUUUUCGACUUCUGCAAGAUCUGCAAACAUGACUGGUAAAUUUGCAUACAUUUCCAGAUGUCUGAUAGGAAAGGAAUCUUCUUGAUCUCCUGCCCUAGGUAAAUAUAAUCUGUGUAAACAGCUGUCUGUGCUAUACAAACGUGCAAUUCAUUAGGAUAGGAGGGCAAGGCCUUGGAAGUGUGCCUUGUCUCUGCAUGUCCUGCUUUUCUUUUUGUCUAAAGCAAAGAUUUUCAAUCUCCCUCCCCACAAAGGGAAUGUCAGUUUUAAAGUUACCCACAGGGAUUCCUGCUUGCAUGCCUUGAUGGAGGAAAUAAAAGGCGUGGACUAAGACACUCACCUUCCUAAUGUCAAAUAAAAUGGAGUUUCUCUAAGAA